rnacentral:rRNA from 1 species
UGGGGAAUAUUGCGCAAUGGGCGAAAGCCUGACGCAGCCAUGCCGCGUGUGUGAAGAAGGCCCUAGGGUUGUAAAGCACUUUCAAUUGGGAAGAAAAGCUGCUGGUUAAUAGCCAGUAGCCCUGACAUUACCUUUAGAAGAAGCACCGGCUAACUCCGUGCCAGCAGCCGCGGUAAUACGGAGGGUGCAAGCGUUAAUCGGAAUUACUGGGCGUAAAGCGCGCGUAGGCGGUUGUUUAAGUCGGAUGUGAAAGCCCUGGGCUCAACCUGGGAACUGCAUUCGAUACUGGGCGACUUGAGUACGAGAGAGGGAGGUAGAAUUCCACGUGUAGCGGUGAAAUGCGUAGAUAUGUGGAGGAAUACCGGUGGCGAAGGCGGCCUCCUGGCUCGAUACUGACGCUGAGGUGCGAAAAGCGUGGGGAGCAAAACAGGAUUAGAUACCCUGGUAGUCCACGCCGUAAACGAUGUCUACUAGCCGUUGGGAGACUUGAUUUCUUAGUGGCGCAGCUAACGCACUAAGUAGACCGCCUGGGAGUACGGCCGC